rnacentral:rRNA from 1 species
UGGACAACAGGUAGAGAUUCCUGUACCAGUGCUAAUUGUUUAACCGAUGGGGUGACACAGAAGGAUAGGGAAUCGCACGAAUGGAAAUGUGCGUCCAAGCAGUGAGUGUGAGAAGUAGGCAAAUCCGCUUCUCGCGAAGCAUGAGCUGUGAUGGGGAAGGAAAUUAAGUACGGAAGUUCCUGAUUUCACGCUGUCAAGAAAAGCCUCUAGGAAGAGUAGUACUGCCCGUACCGCAAACCGACACAGGUAGAUGAGGAGAGAAUCCUAAGGUGAGCGAGAGAACUCUCGUUAAGGAACUCGGCAAAAUGACCCCGUAACUUCGGGAGAAGGGGUGCUCUAUUAGGGUGCAAGCCCGAGAGAGCCGCAGUGAAUAGGCCCAGGCGACUGUUUAGCAAAAACACAGGUCUCUGCAAAACCGUAAGGUGACGUAUAGGGGCUGACGCCUGCCCGGUGCUGGAAGGUUAAGAGGAGUGCUUAGCUUCGGCGAAGGUACGAAUUGAAGCCCCAGUAAACGGCGGCCGUAACUAUAACGGUCCUAAGGUAGCGAAAUUCCUUGUCGGGUAAGUUCCGACCCGCACGAAAGGCGCAACGAUCUGGGCACUGUCUCAACGAGAGACUCGGUGAAAUUAUAGUACCUGUGAAGAUGCAGGUUACCCGCGACAGGACGGAAAGACCCCGUGGAGCUUUACUGCAACCUGAUAUGGAAUGUUUGUACCGCUUGUACAGGAUAGGUAGGAGCCGAAGAGACGUGUGCGCUAGCAUACGAGGAGGCAAUGGUGGGAUACUACCCUGGCUGUAUGACCAUUCUAACCCGCCACGCUUAGCGCGUGGGGAGACAGUGUCAGGUGGGCAGUUUGACUGGGGCGGUCGCCUCCUAAAGAGUAACGGAGGCGCCCAAAGGUUCCCUCAGAAUGGAUGGAAAUCAUUCGCAGAGUGUAAAGGCACAAGGGAGCUUGACUGCGAGACUGACAAGUCGAGCAGGGACGAAAGUCGGGCUUAGUGAUCCGGUGGUUCCGCAUGGAAGGGCCAUCGCUCAACGGAUAAAAGCUACCCCGGGGAUAACAGGCUUAUCUCCCCCAAGAGUCCACAUCGACGGGGAGGUUUGGCACCUCGAUGUCGGCUCGUCGCAUCCUGGGGCUGUAGUCGGUCCCAAGGGUUGGGCUGUUCGCCCAUUAAAGCGGCACGCGAGCUGGGUUCAGAACGUCGU